GAUGAACGCUGGCGGCGUGCUUAACACAUGCAAGUCGAACGAUGAAGCCCAGCUUGCUGGGUGGAUUAGUGGCGAACGGGUGAGUAACACGUGAGUAACCUGCCCUUAACUCUGGGAUAAGCCUGGGAAACUGGGUCUAAUACCGGAUAGGAGCGUCCACCGCAUGGUGGGUGUUGGAAAGAUUUAUCGGUUUUGGAUGGACUCGCGGCCUAUCAGCUUGUUGGUGAGGUAAUGGCUCACCAAGGCGACGACGGGUAGCCGGCCUGAGAGGGUGACCGGCCAAAUGGGUGCGAAGAUGCGGCCGGGACGAAAACGGGAGGCAGCAGUGGGGGAGAGGGCACGAUGGGCGGACGCCGGAUGAAGCAACGCCGCGUGCGGGAUGACGACAUUCGGGUGAUAAACCGAUGAAGCCUGUGACGAAGCGGGAGUGGAGGUAGUGGGUAAAGAGGGAAAGGCUAACUACGAG
rnacentral:rRNA from 1 species